rnacentral:pre_miRNA from 1 species
CUUAUACUCCCUCCAUCCCAAAAUUCUUGUCUUAGAUUUGUCUAGGUAUGAAUGUAUCUAGUCACGUUUUGGUAUUUACAUACAUCCAUUUCUAGAUAAACCUAAGAUAAGAAUUUUGGGACGGAGGUAGUAUAUA